AGUGAACGCUGGCGGUAGGCCUAACACAUGCAAGUCGAACGGCAGCACAGUAAGAUCUUGCUCUUACGGGUGGCGAGUGGCGGACGGGUGAGGAAUACAUCGGAAUCUACUUUUUCGUGGGGGAUAACGUAGGGAAACUUACGCUAAUACCGCAUACGACCUACGGGUGAAAGCAGUGGAUCUUCGGACCUUGCGCGUUUGAAUGAGCCGAUGUCGGAUUAGCUAGUUGGCGGGGUAAAGGCCCACCAAGGCGACGAUCCGUAGCUGGUCUGAGAGGAUGAUCAGCCACACUGGAACUGAGACACGGUCCAGACCCCUACGGGAGGCAGCAGUGGGGAAUAUUGGACAAUGGGCGCAAGCCUGAUCCAGCCAUACCGCGUGGGUGAAGAAGGCCUUCGGGUUGUAAAGCCCUUUUGUUGGGAAAGAAAAGCAGCAGGUUAAUACCCCGAUGUUCUGACGGUACCCAAAGAAUAAGCACCGGCUAACUUCGUG
rnacentral:rRNA from 1 species